rnacentral:rRNA from 1 species
CCUACGGGAGGCAGCAGUGGGGAAUAUUGGGCAAUGGAGGAAACUCUGACCCAGCAACGCCGCGUGAAUGAUGAAGGUCUUCGGAUUGUAAAGUUCUUUUCUAAGGGAAGAAGAAAGUGACGGUACCUUAGGAAUAAGCCUCGGCUAACUACGUGCCAGCAGCCGCGGUAAUACGUAGGAGGCAAGCGUUAUCUGGAAUGACUGGGCGUAAAGGGUGCGUAGGUGGUUUGAUAAGUUGGUAGCGUAACUCCGAGGCUUAACCUCGGCACUAAUACCAAAACUGUUGGACUCGAGUGCAGGAGGGGCAAAUGGAAUUCCUAGUGUAGCGGUGGAAUGCGUAGAUAUUAGGAGGAACACCAGUGGCGAAGGCGAUUUGCUGGACUGUAACUGACACUGAGGCACGAAAGCGUGGGGAGCAAACAGGAUUAGAUACCCUUGUAGUC